rfam:Oryza barthii chromosome 11, whole genome shotgun sequence.
UUUAAGUGCAGCCAUAAGUUUUCGCGCCCAACUUUGAUCGUCCGUCUUAUUUAAAUUUUUUUUAUAAUUAGUAUUUUUGUUGUUAUGAGAUGAUAAAACAUUAAUAAUACUUUACUCGUGACUUAUGUUUUUAAUUUCUUUCAAAAAAUUUUUAAAUAAGACGGACGGUCAAAGUUGGGCGCGAAAAACCAUGACUACACUUAAA